rnacentral:lncRNA from 1 species
AGUUUAAGCAGUCUUUAUUCUCUAACUAAAAGGAUGCACAACAAUACUUCCGAAGAUAUUUAUCAAGUGUAUGCAAAUUCUACAGAAUCAUCUCUUUUGAAGCAAUUUUGUGAAAACACUUCAUAUAGUGAGACAUAAGUCUUAUAAAAAAAAAAGCAAGUAAAAUGAAUUUAAAAUAUGGAGGAUGAACUUAAUUUGUGCUUGUUUGUGAACAUUUAUUACUAGAAGAUAUUAAACCAGAAUGAGGAAUAUUUACAACGUGCUCAUUCGCUCUCCUCCUACCACUUCCAGCAUUUCUGUAAUGGAGACAAAUUUCUGAGAAAUUGUUAUUGGUUAGUAAUAAGUUGUAUGAACAUAGAGGAAGAAGUGGGUCCUCUGUUCACUCAGUCGAAGCAUGGAGAGCAUGAUGGCCGUAUCUUUGGAAGCUCACUUACCUUUCUAAGGCCUUAUGGAGAAAUCUUGGCCAACCCUUGCAUUACAGCUAGGUCUGUAGUUCCCAAAAUAAGCUUAUGCAUACAUGCCCUGCAAUAUAGGUCUGAGUAGAUGGUCAGGGCUCUGUGCUGUGGAGGAAAAUCUUCACACAAACUCAGAGUAAUCCAGCCCAGGAAAGCCUGAGUACCAGACAGAUAUUUUUCAGGUAGUUGGAGGCCCACAAUUCGCUAAUAUGCUGUGUUAAAGCCUGGAGACUUGUGCUGAAGCAUGAGAGUUCUGAGGAAAUUAAACUGCACCAGACAGAAAAUAGGAAAAACUAGAAGUGUCAGCAGUGCACAGGCUGGUGUAACAGCGCAGAAACGGGUACUUAUGCCAGGCAGCAGCCUUCCUCUGCUCCCAUUCUGUAGGUGAGUAAAGGGUAGUCCAACACCUUCCCAUGCUAAAAGCGCUUUUGAGUUCUGGACCUGGAAAUAGAUGGGCAUGCACGACACCUACAGAGACCACACGGUGCAGGCUCUCUGGUAGCCUCUGUUUUGAAGGAGUCCUCAGUGGCCACAUCAAACUGAAUCUUGAUCUGCAUGAGGAAAGGAUGUGUCACCUCCAGCCUGAAUAAAUCUCCCCAGCUGUAGUAAAUACCUAGCUUGCCCCAAGACCUUGCUUGAAUUGUCCCAAAAAAUUAGAAUGCCCUCCAUUCCUGUGUACCCAGCAGUAUC